UCAAGAUACUUGUCUCUGACAUGGGCGGAGAGAUACUUGUUUCUCCAGGCUCAUUUGCAUAAGGCUCCCCACACAUUCGAAGAUCAUAAAGUCUGCAUCUGUGUGUGCAGAAGCAAAGAGAAGGAGGCAAUGAACCUCUGCGUGCCACUUCUCCUAGCUCCUCCUUGCCAGGUGGACAAGAAAAGCCUUAUCAGCAACCUGCAGCAGGGACCAUGUCUGAAAGCCAAAGCUCCUAGAAUAAUCUGAUAAAGAGCAAAUUGCACUGUCAAGGCUAUACAAUGAUUCCUUUUUCCUUCCUGCUUUGAGAGAUGCUAAAGUACAAUCGCAGGGAGAAUUUCCAGGAUCUAGAACAUCCUUCACCAACUGAGGAGCAUUUAUCGGGGCCCCAGGAGUGGCUCCUUAGAGGGCAAUGUAAGAAAAUGGAGUCAAAGGGACAUAGUGUGACUUACAAUGUGGAUUGAUGAGACUUGAGAGCAGAGUCAGUUUGCUGUCACCCAGAUGCCGACUACUUAUCGCCCAUUGCUGCCGUGGAUUCCAGAGACCAGGCAUCCUUUUCAGGUUCCUGGGGAUUUGGAGAAGAAAGCAGUCUUUUAUUAUACCCUUAUUGUUCAGAUCGUGAAAAUGCAAAAAUAUAGCCUGUCCAAGCAGUCACCAUUUUAAUUUCGAAUGAAAUUUCUUAUUGUCAUACAAAAAAGAGCAUGUUCAUAGGAGUGUAUUUUUAAAUUUUUUUUUUUUUUCAUUUUUGGCAAUGAAACAUGAAGUCAGUCAGCACAAGGUAGGGUCUUUUCAAAAGCACAUAAGAGAGAUCCUGCUUGAUUCCCAUCCAGGUUCGGGCAGUGCCUCAACCUCUGGCUGUUACCAACAGCCUGUCCCGGCUACAUUAUUGUUUGCUUUUAUUUCUGUUUGCAUGAGCUUCUACCAGACUUAGGCAAGGUGCUAGGUGCUUUAUGUAUAUCAUUCCCUUCAGUUUCACAACUCUUUAAGACAGGCAUCUGUUCUGAUUACCUCUUAGUCACUCCGCUGGUAAAGGUGGACUCCUUUGCUCUAAAUAGUAUGGGAUGGCUGCACAUAGGAUAUUUGACACUUGACAGGUGGCUCUGACAGCAGUUUAUUAGUCACAUAUACUCACAGCCUGGGGGAGGAGGCUGCUGCCUGCUAUGCAGGGCCACAUGGGGUGGCACUCAGGAGCAGAAGGAACCAACAGGGACUGUGGGAGGCAGGCUUUGCAAUAAUAACAGCCUCAGGUGCCUCUUGGUUUCUUUAAGAGGAUGUGAUCGGUUUUAUGAGUAGCCUUGUGUGCUGGCAGGGAAGUGAAAUCCACUAGGUUGAGUUAGGGUUAGGGGA